GGAAAAGUGGGGGUCAUAAAAAGAUUUCUAAUUUUUUUUAUAGGCAGUUCAACUCUGUUUACUUUUUUG
rnacentral:tRNA from 1 species